rnacentral:rRNA from 1 species
GUACACGCUGUGACUAGCAUAUCAAUAAGCGGAGGAAAAGAAACUAACAAGGAUUCCCCUAGUAACGGCGAGUGAAGCGGGAAGAGCUCAAAUUUGAAAUCUUAAAGGGUUUCCCUUUACGAAUUGUAGUUUAAAGAAGUGUUUUCUGUUGAGGUUUUGGUAAAAGUUCUUUGGAAUAGGACAUCAUAGAGGGUGAGAAUCCCGUAUUUGACCUUUACUUUCAACUUUGUGAUACACUUUCAAAGAGUCGGAUUGUUUGGGAAUGCAGUCCAAAAUGGGUGGUAAAUUUCAUCUAAAGCUAAAUAUUGGCGAGAGACCGAUAGCGAACAAGUACCGUGAGGGAAAGAUGAAAAGAACUUUGAAAAGAGAGUUAAACAGUACGUGAAAUUGUCAAAAGGGAAGCGUUUGACACCAGUGUUGUUUUUCUGAAAAUCAAUUAAAGAACUGUUUAUGCUAAGCUGUUUAGACUUUAUCAGCUAUCUGUUUAGUUUUGAGCUUUUUCCUUAAUGCACUUUUCAGUUAACAAGUCGACAUCAAUUUCUUUUGCUGUAAAAAAGCUUGAGGAAGGUGGCUUGAGAUUCGUCUUAAGUGUUUAUAGCCUCUUGCCUAUGCAGUCGGAGAGAUUGAGGUCUGCAGCGUAGAUCCUUCGGGGCUAAAUGCAUUUGUGCUAAGUUAUAGCAUUUUAUAGACAACUUGUUGACUAUGAUUUGUCUUGUAGCUUACUCGCUUAUGUUAUUUUACCUACGCUUAGGAUGUUGAAGAUGUAGCACAUCAU